rnacentral:lncRNA from 1 species
GGCAUAUCCAACUAUUCCAAUCCGCAUCGGAAUGCUCUCCCUCAGAAACGUCUCAGCUUGUUUAGUCUCUUCCUUUCUAUCAGCAGUCACUGUUCCAGUAAGAACACAACCUCCACAUUAGAUAUAAUAUAUUAUUAUUAUUACUGUUAUCAUCAUCAUCAUCAUCAUAAUUGAAAAAUAAAAGUGUAGUCACUGUUGCAAUAAGAAUAUGAUCUCAUCAUUAGAUAUAAUAUAUUGUUAUUAUUAUUAUCUUCAUCAUCAUCAUAAUUGGAAAAUAAAAUAGAAACAAACUCAAGUAUGUGAAUUUGACGGAUCUUACCAUUUUUAUUGUUCUUGCUCUUUAUUCUGUCAUGGACAUUGAGGACUGUGCAAAUUAGAAUCUUGGUGAAGUUGUAUAUGCCAUCACCGAGGAUUAGAGCGAUUGAUAGAAA